rnacentral:lncRNA from 10 species
GGCAGAAGGGACUUGCCUUGUCUCAGAUGAGACUUUGAACUGUGGACCUCUGAGUUAAUGCUGAAAUGAGGCUUCCUUAUGAUGGAAACCUGGUCUGGGUUGCUCACCACUGAACCUCCUCACACCUGGAGCCGUGCCUAGCACAAGGAGCUUACGUAUCCUCAGAAGAGAAGAAACAGAGACGAUUGCUGUCUUCAUUUUAGAGACAAAGAACCCGAGGCGUAGAGAGCCAGGGUUCCUGUUGCAUUUUUGGAGUGGAGCCUUGGAGGUCCUUAUUACCCUUUCCACAACUGCUUCUAGCAGACAACAGCUUUUAAAUGGUGUUUGUUGAAGUCCUAGGAAGUCUGCAGAAUGUUUUCAAAGGGCAUUUAUUAUAGGAGGCCAAAUGACGGCAGGUGAGACUCCAGGUUCUCACCCAAAAAGUUUAACCUGAAGCAAAAUCCAUUUUUAUGUGUUUAAUGCAUUGAGC